UGGGGAAUUUUGGACAAUGGGCGAAAGCCUGAUCCAGCAAUGCCGCGUGUGUGAAGAGGCCUUCGGGUUGUAAAGCACUUUUGUCCGGAAAGAAAUCCUUGGCUCUAAUACAGUCGGGGGAUGACGGUACCGGAAGAAUAAGCACCGGCUAACUACGUGCCAGCAGCCGCGGUAAUACGUAGGGUGCAAGCGUUAAUCGGAAUUACUGGGCGUAAAGCGUGCGCAGGCGGUUUGCUAAGACCGAUGUGAAAUCCCCGGGCUCAACCUGGGAACUGCAUUGGUGACCGGCAGGCUAGAGUAUGGCAGAGGGGGGUANAAUUCCACGUGUAGCAGUGAAAUGCGUAGAGAUGUGGAGGAAUACCGAUGGCGAAGGCAGCCCCCUGGGCCAAUACUGAGCUCAUGCACGAAAGCGUGGGGAGCAAACAGGAUUAGAUACCCUGGUAGUCCACGCCCUAACGAUGUCAACU
rnacentral:rRNA from 1 species